rnacentral:tRNA from 1 species
UAUAUUUUAGUGUAAGAUGCACAAGGAGUUUUGAUCUCCUAGGAUUUAGUUUAAAUCUAAAAAAUAUAA